GACCUUGGUGAGGUUGUACUGCUUUAUUCAGUUUUGGUCACCCUGUUAUUGGAAGGAUGUCAUUAAGCUGAAAAGAGUGAAAAGAUUUACAAGGAUGUCGCCAGGACUAGAGGGGCUGAGCUAUAGGGACAGGUUGGGCAGGCUGGGACUCAAUUCCUUGGAGCACAGGCGGCUGAGGGGUGAUCUUACAGAGAUGUAUAAAAUCAUGAGAAUAGAUAGGGUGAAUGCACAGAGUCUUUUAUCCAGGGUAGGGGAAUCAAAAGUUUAGUGCAACCUAAUCUUUAUUGGCACUUGAGUUACCUAAGCAUUCAUGCAAUCUACUGAUUUCUAAUAGCUGCUCAUUUCAUUUACAAUUCCAGCUUAUCUCGUCUUUCUCUAAAUCACAGGAAUCACGGCUUGGACUCAGAUGCUAACCAAAAGAAUGAAUUAGCCAGAUUCACUCUGCUGGUAGGAAUUUGAGAUUCAUACUCAGGACUAUCCUAGCGAUGGUUAUUACUGGGUUGUCACUGUCAAUAUGUUGGAUCGUCAUGCUUCUGUAUGAUUUUUCCUUCAAUCUUCUUAAGCAUGCAAGAGAAUUCUUAAUCAUAAUGUUGCCUGUUUAUAUUUCCCUUCUCAUCAUUUGGUCCCUUUACAAAAUGGUUAUUCCCAGAUACAUUACUUGUCCACACUGUUUUCUCAAUGUCACACCACAUAAAGCUAGCUUCACCUUUGAUUGCAACAGGUGUCGAUCAUGUGACUUUUUCACAAUGCUUCUUAAUCUGUCUCUCUCUCCACCCGCACGUAAUCCAUAUCCCUCCAUUUCCUACAAUAUCCAUAUGCCUAUUUAAAAGUAAUUGGAUGAGAACAUAUAAGGCAGGAAUUUUAAGUUUGCAGAUGACACUAAAGUGGGUGAUAUUGUAUUAAGCGAGGAUAGUUAUAAAAGGUUACAGCAGGACCUUGAUCAGUUAGGCAAGAGAGCAGAGGAAUGAAUGGUUAAUCGAGUUUAAUGCAGGUGAGGCAAGGUGUUGCAUUUUGGGAAGUCUAACCAGGGCACGACCUUCACAGUAAAUGACAGGGUUCUGGGAAUUGUAAAGCAGAAGGAUCUGGGUGGGAGUGCAGGUACACAGUUCCUUGAAAAUGGGGUCACCGCUAGAUAAGGCUUUUUCGAACAUUGGCCUUCAUCGGUCAGGGUAUUGAAUAUAGAAGUUGGUAUGUUUUGUUACAGAUGUACAAGGUGCUGGUGAGGCCACAGUUGGUGUAUUGCGUUCAAUUUUGGUCACCAUGUAGGAAAGAUGUGUUAAGCUGGAAACAGUACAGAGAAGAUUUACGUGGUUGUUACCAGGACUUGAGGCCCUGAGCUAUAGGGAAAGGUUGGGCAGGUUAGGCCUGUAGUCCUUGGAGCAUAGGAGGAUGAGAGGUGAUCUUGUAGAGAUAUAUAAGAUCAUGAGGGGAAUAAAUAGGAUAGAUGCACAGAGUCUUUUACCCAGAGUAGAGGGAAAUCAAGAACCAGAGAACAUAGGUUUAAGGUGAGAGGGGAAGGUUUCAAUAAGAAUCUGAGGGACAAAUUUUUCACACAGAGGGUGGCGGGAGCAUGGAACAAGCUGUCAGAGGAGGUAAUUGAGGCAGAAAUUAUAAAAUUUAAAAGACAUUUGGACAAGUACAUGGGAAAGAAAGGCUGAGAGGGAUAUGGGCUAAACGCAAGCAAGUGGGACUAGCAUAGAUUGGGCACCUUGGUCGGCAUGGGCAAGCUGGGCCAAAGGGGCUGUUUUCCUGCUGUAUGACUAUGAUGCAAAACCUGAUUGAAGCAUUGUGCCAAAAAAUUGGAGUAUUUCUAGUGUAUCCUGGCAUAGACACACUAUGUGGUAGAAUUGGAUGCUACAAAAACUGCGAGAAAAUCUCAAGCAGAUCGGCCUAGAAACAAUUCCCUCAAGGAUUAGUGAUAAUAGACAAUAGACAUUAGGUGCAGGAGUAGGCCAUUCGGCCCUUUCAUCCAGCACCGCCUUUCAAUAUGAUCAUGGCUGAUCAUCCACAAUCAUUACCCCGUUCCUGCUUUCUCGCCAUAUCCCCUGGACUCUGCUAUCGUUAAGAGCUCUAUCUAACUCUCUUUUGAAAGCAUCCAGAGAAUUGGCCUCCACUGCCUUCUGAGGCAGAGAAUUCCACAGAUUCACAACCUUCAGUGUGAAUAAGUUUUUCCUCAUCUCUGUUCUAAAUGGCUUACCCCUUAUUCUUAAACUUGGUUCUGGACUUCCCCAACAUCGGGAACAUGUUUCCUGCCUCUCGCGUGUGCAAACCCUUAAUAAUCUUAUAUAUUUCAAUAAGAUAUCCUCUCAUCCUUCUAAAUUCCAGAGUAUACAAGCCCAGUCGCUCCAUUCUAUCAACAUAUGACAGUUCCAUCAUCCCGGGAAUUAACCUCGUGAACCGACGCUGUACUCCCUUAAUAGCAAGAAUGUCCUCCCUCAAAUUUGGAGAUCAAAACGGCACUCAAUAUUCCAGGUGUGGUCUCACUAGGGCGCUGUACACCUGCAGAAGGAUCUCUCUGCUCCUAUACUCAACUCCUCUUGUUAUGAAGGCCAACAUGCCAUUCGCUUUCUUCACUGCAAAUGUACCUGCAUGCUUACUGUUUGUGACUGAUGAACAAGGACCCCCAGAUCUCAUUGUACUUCCCCUUUUCCCAACUUGACACCAUUCAGAUAAUAAUCUGCCAUCCUGUUUUUGCCACCAAAGUGGAUAACCUCACAUUUAUUCACAUCAAACUGCAUCUGCCAUGCGAUUUGCCCACUCACCCAACCUGUCCAGGUCACCCUGCAUCCUCAUAGCAUCCUCCUCACAGUUCACACUGCCACCCAGCUUUGUGUCAUCUGCAAAUUUGCUUAUGUUACUUUUAAUCCCUUCAUCUAAAUCAUUAAUGUAUAUUGUAAAGAGCUGCGGUCCCAGCACUGAUCCUUGCGGUACCCCAGUAGUCACUGCCUGCCAUUCUGAAAGGGACCCGUUUAUCCCUAUCUUUGUUUCCUGUAUGCAAACCAAUUUUCUAUCCAUGUCAGUACCCUAUCCCCAAUACCAUGUGCUCUAAUUUUGCCCACUGAUCUCCUAUGUGGAACUUUAUCAAAUGCUUUCUGAAAGUCCAGGUACACUAUAUACACUGGCUCUCCCUUAUCCAUUUUCCUAGCUACAUCCUCAAAAAAUUCCAGAUGAUUAAUUAAGCAUGAUUUCCCCUUCGUAAAUACACGCUGACUCGGACCGAUCCUGUUACUGCUAUCCAAAUGUGUCGCUAUUUCAUCUUUUAUAAUUGACUCCAGCAUUUAUGGAAUUUAACCAGUACAUCCAGCAUACUCGGGUGUUAGUUCUGUCCCUUCAUUAGAGUCUGGUUCAAGAAAGGUUAUGAGGAGCUACAAGUAAAGGUUUUGGAAUGAUACUAAGUCUUCCAAUAAUUCCUGAAGAUAAACUCAGGCUGAAAGUUUUCCAGGUAGAAAAUAUAGAUGUUAUUAGAGGAGAAAUAUGGCUUGUCAUGAACAGUUCCAGACAGUGAGGAAGGCUGUCAACAUAUACAGCAGGAUAUAUGAUCAGCUGUAGUAAUGGGCAGAGGAAUAGCAGUGCCUUACAGGAGUUUAAACAGUGCCUUAAUAACAUUGAUGUAUAGAGGGAUCUUGGAUCCAAGUCCACAGCUCCCUGAAAGUGGCAACACAAGUAGAUGGAAUAAUAAAGAAGACUCUCAUCAGUCGGGACAAAGCAUAAGAGACCGGAAAUCAUGUUGCAGCUUUAUAGGGUUUUGGUUUGUCCACAUUUGCAGUGUUGUGUGCAGUUCUAGUCAUCGAGACUGGAAGGCUUUGGAAGGAUUGCAGAAAAUGUUCAUCAGAAUGCUGCCUGGAUAAGAGGAUAUUUGCUAUAAGGAGACACAGAAGCCUUAACAACUACCAUCAAAUGGCCUUGACAUCCACCAUCACAAAGUGCUUUUGAGAGGCCGAUUAUCGAACACAUUAAAUCCAAUCUACCAAGCAACCUUGACCCAUUGCAGUUCACCUACAGCCACAACAGGUCCAAGGCUGAUGCCAUGUCCUAGGCCCUAUAACUCUUAUCUGGAUAAGGGAGACACCUAUGUCAGACUACAGCACUGCUUUCAGUACCAUUAGCCCAUCCCAGCUCAUAUUUAAACUUGUGGAAAUUGGAGUCAGCACUCAUCUACUGGUACUACUGGAUCCUUGACCUCCUGACGAACAGACCACAAUCAGUGAGGAUAGGUGACAAAUAAUCCUCAACACUGGCGCUCCGAUAGGGUGUGUUCUCAAUCCCCUUCUUUAUUACUUCUACAGCCACGGCUGUGCAGCCAAAUACAUAUACAACUCAAUCAACAAAUUCUCAGACGACACCACCAUAGUGGGCCCGAUGUCAAAUGAUAACGACACAGAGUACAGGGAAGAGAUUGAGAAUCUCGUAACCUGUGUCAUGACAACAACCUUUCCCUCCAUGUCAGUAAGACAGAAGAGACAGUGAUCAACUUCAAGAAGCGGAACAGUACACAAUCAGAUCAAGGGUGCUGAAGUAGAGUUGGUUGAAAGCUUCAAAAGUAAAUAUUAUGAGUAACUUGUUCUGGACUAGCCACAUCAAAGCAAUGGUCAAGAAAGCACACCAAUACCUCUACGUCCUAAGAAGGCUUAGGAAGUUUGCUAUGUCUCCAACAACUCUCACCAACUUCUACAGAUGAGCUGUAGAAAGCAUUUUAUCGGGAUGCAUCACAGCCUGGUUUGGGAACAGCUCCAUCCAAGACCGCAAGAAAUUGCAGAGAAUUGUGGACGCAGCUCAGACCAUCACACAAACCAACCUCCCUACCAUUGACACCAUGUACAGUUCACCCUGCCUCGGCAAGGCCACCAGCAUAAUCAAGGGCGGUCACGGAAGCGCAGCGGUAGAGUUGCUACCUUACAGCGAAUGCAGCGCCGGAAACCGGAGUUCGAUCCCGACUGCGGAUGCUGUCUGUAUGGAGUUUGAUCGUUCUCCCUGUGACCUGCGUGGGUUUUCUCUGAGUUCUUCGGUUUCCUCCCACACUCCAAAGAUGUACAGGUUUUGUAGGUUAAUUGGCUUGGUAAAUGGACAAAUUGACCCUUUUGGGUGUAGGAUAGUGUUAAUGUGCGGGGAUCGUUGGUCGGCGCAUACCCGGUGGGCCGAAGGGCCUGUUUACACGUCGUAUCUCUAAACUAAACUAAACUAAACUAAAUACGAGUCUCAUCCUGGAUUCUCCCAUCAGCCAAGAGGUACAAAAGUGUGAAAACCCAUACCUCCAGAUUCAGGGACAGUUCCGUCCCAGCUAUCUCCAGGCAUCUUCUCACUAACCAGAGAGCGGUCCUGAGCUAUCAUCUACCUCAUUGGAGACCCUCAGACUAUCUUUAAUUGGACUUUACUAAGAUUUUAUCCUGCAUAAAACAUUAUUCCCUAUAUCCUGUAUCAGUACUCUGUGGACCACUUGAUUGUAAAGUAAAGUAAACUUUAUUGUCAAUUCAAAUAAUGCAACAAGUAGUUACACAGAGGAUUGAAAUUGCGUUUCCCCAUACUCCAAAUGUGCAAGUAAUAUUUAUAACACAGACAGACUAUAUACCAAUAAAAAUAGACAGGACAUAUACAUUAUAUAAAAUAUUCACAGUGUGCCAGAGUGUAGUAAAAUUUUGAGGUAUGUUAUUAAGGUGCAAUAAUAAAAGGUGCAAUAUAGAAAAGUGCAAAUGGCAUACUGCAGACAUUGAAUUAAAGUUAUUUUGACAGUCAAUUGGUCUUAGUUUGUGUAAUGUUCAUGGAAUUUUCUUGAGUGUGUUGAGUAGUCUGAUGGCCUGAGGGAAAAAGCUAUUUUUGAAUCUGGUGGUUUUGCUCCGCAUGCUGCGGUAGCGCUUGCCGGAUGGUAGGAGGGUGAACAGUUUGUGUGCUGGGUGGGUGGUGUCUUUGUGAUCUUAUAUAGACUUUUAGCUGACAGGAUAGCACUCAACAAAAAGCUUUUCACUGUACCUUGAUACACGUGACAACAAACUAAACUACUUACAAGAAACUGGAAAUGCUGGAAUCUUGAGCAAAAUACAAAGUGCUGGAGUAACUUAGCUGGUAGAGGUUGGAUAAACUUGGAUUGGUAUCUCUGGAGCGUCUGUUUAUUACACAGAGGGUGGAGGGUGCUGGAAUAUGUGCCAGCAAUGGUGGUGGGGUAGAUCCGACUGUGGCAUUUAAGCGGCAUUUGGAUGGGCACAAGGAAAGGAGGAGUAUGGAUCAUAUGCAGUGAGAGGAAAUUAGUUAAUUUGGCAUCAUGUUGGAGGGGGGGGGCAUUCACUCUGCUGGUAAUUUCAAACUCCGGACCCUCUUUCUUGAGUUAGUUGUUCCUGGGUCGUCAUUACUAGUGCCACGGUUCACCCUAUGUCUUGAUUUUUCCUUUAGUCUGAUAAAAGUCACUCACUAUCUCAAGGCUGUCAUGACUCUGAAGUAAAUCAUUUCAUAUUGUCACAUAUCUAACGACUGAAUAAAAAAAGUACAUAUUUUUCCUUAUCAGACUAUAUAGUUUAUAUUGAUAAUGUUGUCUGUUCAUAUUUCCCUUCUCUCAUCAUAGUGUCCUUUUACAAAAUGGCUGUUUCGUGACACCUUAUCUUUAGUUUAGUUUCAUGAUACAGAAUGGAAACAAGCCCUUUGGCCCACACUGACCAUCGAUCACCCAUUCACACUAGUUCUAUGUUAUCCCACAUUAGCAUCCACUCCCUACAUACUUGGGGCAAUUUACAGGGGCCCAAUUAACCUACAAACCCAAGCGUCUUUGGGAUGUGGGAGGAAAUCGGAUCACCAGAAAUCCAGACGGUCAAAGGGAGAACAUACAAAUUCCUCGCAGACAGCACCCGAGAACAGUAUCGAAGUCGGGUCUCUGGUGCUGUCUGUACUGUUUUCUCAAGGUCACACCACAGAGUCGUAAUGCUAUCUUCAACUAUGCUCUCAACCAUGUGAUCAUUUUCACUAUACUGUUUUUUGUGGUCACAACAUUUUUCUCUGUCUCUCUCUGUCUGUCUCUGGUAGUAACCUCCCAGGGCCUGUUGGGAUACUUGACAUUUUGUGCUCCCAAUACAUAAGUUGUAAACAUGUUGUAUUUUAUUGUUUAUUCUCUGUGUGUAGGUUUCUCCGAAGCAUGACUCACUCCAUUAAGCGCUCUUCGGAACAUUUUAAAGGAGGAGGGGGAGCAACCAGAAGUCGUUGUGCACAUUGGCAUAAAUGACAUAGUUUACAUGAGUGGUGGCUUAUCGGGUGUGAUAUUUACUGGAUUAUAUAUUGACCAAGGACAAAUGGUGACUCUUGAAUAUAAUUGUCUUGCACUCUCUGCUGUGAUGAUAUGGACUACUUUUACUAUGGGCUUUAUAUACCUUUUUCUGAAACUUGUGGGCGUUUUAAAGCCAAAAAUGACAAGGUAGGAAUAUGGUUAUUUUUUAAUUUCAUACUCCUUAAUGCAAGAAUGCUCUAAUGAUACAAAGUGGGUGGGGCGGCUCUGUGGCUGCAAGUUCUAGAUUAUUCUUAUUAGAAUUUAUUUUUCAUUUGAGGGUAAAAUCCAUUUCAUCUAUUGUGUUUUGGAUGCCCUGCUAUAGGAAAGAUGUUGCUGAACUCGAAAGAGUGCAGAGCAGAUUUUCGAGGAUGUUGCCAGGACUAGAGGGCCUGAGCUAUCGGGUUAAGGUUGGGCAGGCUAGGACCUUAUUUCUUGGAGUGCAGAAUAAAAAGGGAUGAUUAUUUACCAAUGUAUAAGGUCAUGAGGAGAAAGUAUAGGGUCAAUGCACAGAUUAUUUUAGGGGAAUCAAGAACCAGAGGACAUAGGUUGACGGUGAGAGGGGAAAGAUUUAAAAGGAACGUGAACAAUGGUGGGUAUCUGGAACGUGAUGCCAAAGGAGGUAAAUGAGGUAGGUAGAACAACAUUUAAAAGACAUUUGGACAGGUACGUGGAUAGGAAAGGUUUAGAGCGGUAUGGGCUAAUCGUGGGCAAUUAGUACUUCUGUGGCUGGGGCAUUUUUGUUGGCAUGGGCAAGUUGGGCUGAAGUCCUGGCAUUAUCCUAGUAAAUCUUCUCUGCACUCUUUCCAGCUUAACAAUAUACUUCCUAAAGUAGAUUAAGCAAAACUGAACACGAUACUCCAAAUCCGGACUCACCAACAUCUUAUGCAACUGUAACACAACAUCCCAACUUCGAUACUCAAUACCGUGACUGAUGAUGGCCAACAUGCCAGUGUGCCAAAAACCUUCUUUACCACCCUAUCUACUUGUAAUGUCACUUUAAAGGAACCAUGUACGUAUGUUCAAGAAACUAAUUCUUUAUGUUUCAAGGAACUGUGAAGGACCUGCCUAGUUUGAUUUCCUUAAAUGCAGCACCUCACACAUAUUUGCAUUAAACUCCAUUAACCAUUCCUCAGCCCACUUGCCCAGCUGAUCAAGAUCCUACUUAAUUUUUGACAACCAUCUUCACUUUCUACGAUACCAUCUGCAGUGUCAUCUGCAAACUUACUAAUCAUGCAUUCUCCAUUCUCAUCCAAAUAUUUUAAACCAUAAACAACAAUAAGCCAACACCGUUCCCUGAGCCACACCACUAAUCACAGUCCUACAGUGCGAAAAACAACCAUCCACCAUUAACCACUGCUUCCUUCCAUGUAUCCAAUUCUCUAUCCAGUCGUAUAACUCUUCUUAGAUCCCAUGCAAUCUAACUUUCCCGAGCAGACCACCCUGUGAACCCUUAAAGGCCUUACUGAAGCCUGGAUACACAAUGUCUAUUCCUUUUAGGUUACAUUAAAAAAAAACCUCAGAUAUUUAAAAAAUCAGAUUCGUAAGACACGAUCUCUCACGUACAACACCCUGCUGACUAUCCCUAAUCAGCUCUUGUCUAUCCAAAUGCAGAGAUAUCUUAACACUCAGAAUACUCUCCAUUACUUACCAACCACAGAUGGUAGGCUCACUUGUCUAUAGUUCCCAGGCCUGUCCUUGCAGAUCCUUUUUAUGUAUAGUUACAAUAUUAACCAUUCAGUCUUCUGGCACCUCAUCCGUGUCUAAUGAUGAUUCAUAUAUCUCAGCCAGGCUGUCUGCAAUUUUUUCUCUAGUUUCCCAAAGUGCCCUGAGAUAUAUCUGAUCAUGCCUGGGAGAUUUAUCCACCUUCAUACGUCAAAUAUAUAUUUCACCAUUUCCCAGACAUUUCAAAAAAAAUUUCACUGACCAAGGAUUUGUGAGUUCAUUGUGAUUUAUUGUUAUUUGUGAGAUAACUAAAUGGAAAAUGAUUCUGAGCAUCACACACUAACGUCCUAUAACAAAUCCAUUUUUACCCACACAUUAUUGAAUUCCUGGCUGCAAACUGCAAUAAGCAGCGAGUAGCAGAUAAAAAAUGUCACAUUUUUUUCACGUGGGAAAAACUCACAUCAAGACCACUGUGAUAAUCUGUGUAUGUAAGCUACUUAGAUAUAUCUAUCCAUUCAGCCAAUUUCCUAAAGGGGCUCUGCAAUUUGAAUUUUAACCUUGAUCUGCAUCCUCCACUGAAAGAACACCAUUUUCUUUGGCCAAAACAUAUUGUGGGGCACAUUGUGAUUCUUUGAAAGCAUUAUCUCCAUAGUGUAUUAUAGAUCCAGGGCUCAUAUAGAGCUGCACCAGCUCUCUGUCAAUUCAGUUGCAUAUGAAAUGCAGAUAUAUUUUUGACUCUUAAAAGAGUUGUUCAAGACAAAAAUAACCCAAAAAUGAAGACAAAAAAAAUAAUCAAGGAAGAAAUGAUCAGAUUUUGCUUUUGGAAAUGCACCUUUAUGCUCCAUAGGUAAAGGGAACAAAUCUCCUGCAGAUUGUUCGAAAUUAUUUUCUGGGGAAGUUAAUUUUGUUAUGAUUUUCUUAAUUUUUGAUACCGCCUCGCUGUGCAGAUUUGACACUGCAGGCAAGUUAACACAGUGAAUAGUGGGAAUCGUUUAUUUCUUUAUUCCAGAAAUGUAAAUUCUGGAUGGCCACAUGUCAUUUUUGUAGUUUUUGAUGAUUUUCGCAUGAUUAGGGCCGAAGCAAAGGCAAAAUAUUAAAAAUGUGAAAACAGAAAAUGAUUUAAAAAUGAAGUAGCUGAGUGGGUCUGACAACAGCUCUGUGAACAUGGACAGGUGAAUUUAAGGUUGGGACCCUUCAUCAGACAUUUACCAUUCCUCAGCCCACUUGCCUAACUCAUCAGAUCCUGCUGUAAAUGUUGAUUAUGAACUCCACUAACGAAA